rnacentral:rRNA from 1 species
CCCUUAGAUGUCCUGGGCCGCACGCGUGCUACACUGACGCAUACAGCGAGCACUUUCCAGUUCCGAGAGGCUACUGGUAAUCAUCAAUAUGCGUCGUGAUGGGGAUAGAUCUUUGGAAUUCUGGAUCUUGAACGAGGAAUGCCUAGUAAUCGCAGGUCAUUAGCCUGCGAUGAUUAAGUCCCUGCCCUUUGUACACACCGCCCGUCGCUACUACCGAUUUCGAGUGGUCAGGUGAAUCUUUCGGACUGUGGGCGCCCUUGAGGUGUUCGCGGAAAGUCAGGUAAAUCUUAUCACUUAGAGGAAGUAAAAGUCGUAACG